CCUACGGGGGGCAGCAGUGGGGAAUAUUGCACAAUGGGGGGAACCCUGAUGCAGCAACGCCGCGUGGGUGAAGAAGUAUUUCGGUAUGUAAAGCCCUAUCAGCAGGGAAGAAGAUGACGGUACCUGACUAAGAAGCCCCGGCUAAAUACGUGCCAGCAGCCGCGGUAAUACGUAUGGGGCAAGCGUUAUCCGGAUUUACUGGGUGUAAAGGGAGCGCAGGCGGCGCGGCAAGUCAGAUGUGAAAGCCCGGGGCUCAACCCCGGGACUGCAUUUGAAACUGCCGUGCUGGAGUGUCGGAGAGGCAAGUGGAAUUCCUAGUGUAGCGGUGAAAUGCGUAGAUAUUAGGAGGAACACCAGUGGCGAAGGCGGCUUGCUGGACGAUAACUGACGCUGAGGCUCGAAAGCGUGGGGAGCAAACAGGAUUAGAUACCC
rnacentral:rRNA from 1 species